rnacentral:rRNA from 1 species
CCAGACUCCUACGGGAGGCAGCAGUGGGGGAUAUUGCACAAUGGGGGAAACCCUGAUGCAGCGACGCCGCGUGGGUGAAGAAGCGCCUCGGCGCGUAAAGCCCUGUCAGCAGGGAAGAAAAUGACGGUACCUGAUUAAGAAGCCCCGGCUAACUACGUGCCAGCAGCCGCGGUAAUACGUAGGGGGCAAGCGUUAUCCGGAUUUACUGGGUGUAAAGGGAGCGUAGACGGUGAUGCAAGUCAGAAGUGAAAGCCCGCGGCUCAACUGCGGGACUGCUUUUGAAACUGUAUAACUAGAGUGCAGGAGAGGUAAGCGGAAUUCCUAGUGUAGCGGUGAAAUGCGUAGAUAUUAGGAGGAACACCAGUGGCGAAGGCGGCUUACUGGACUGUAACUGACGUUGAGGCUCGAAAGCGUGGGGAGCAAACAGGAUUAGAUACCCCAGUAG